rnacentral:rRNA from 1 species
CCUACGGGGGGCAGCAGUGAGGAAUAUUGGUCAAUGGCCGGAAGGCUGAACCAGCCAUGCCGCGUGAAGGUCAGUGCCCUAUGGGCGUUAAACUUCUUUUGUGCGGGAGCAAUAAUGGUCACGUGUGGCCAGACGAGAGUACCGUACGAAUAAGCAUCGGCUAACUCCGUGCCAGCAGCAGCGGUAAUACGGGGGAUGCAAACGUUAUCCGGAUUUAUUGGGUUGAAAGGGUGCGUAGGCUGUGAGUUAAGUCAGCGGUGAAAUGCCCCCGCUCAACGGGGUGAAGUGCCAUUGAUACUGCCUUGCUUGAAUGCGGAUGCCGUGGGAGGAAUGUGUGGUGUAGCGGUGAAAUGCAUAGAUAUCACACAGAACACCGAUUGCGAAGGCAUCUCACGAAUCCGCGAUUGACGCUGAUGCACGAAAGCGUGGGUAUCAAACAGGAUUAGAUACACCAGUAGUC